GACGAACGCUGGCGGCGUGCCUAAUACAUGCAAGUAGAACUCAGUUGCGAACGGGUGAGUAACGCGUAGGUAACUGCCUCAUAGCGGGGGAUAUCUAUUGGAAACGAUAGCUAAUACCGCUUACUGUGAGAUGGACCUGCGUUGUAUUAGCUAGUUGGUGAGGUAAAGGCUCACCAAGGCGACGAUACAUAGCCGCCCUGAGAGGGUGAGCGGCCACACUGGGACGUGGACACGGCCCAGACGCCUACGGGAGGCAGCAGUAGGGAGUCUUGGGCAAUGGACGGACGUCUGACCGAGCAUGGCCGCGUGAGUGAAUAAGGUUUUCGGAUCGUAAAGCUCAGUUGUUUGAGAAGCGGUAGCUAACAAGAAAGGGACGGCUAAAUACGUGCCAGCAGCCGCGGUAAUUC
rnacentral:rRNA from 1 species